rnacentral:rRNA from 1 species
CAGCAGCCGCGGUAAAACGGAGGAUCCAAGCGUUAUCCGGAAUCAUUGGGUUUAAAGGGUCCGUAGGCGGUCUUGUAAGUCAGUGGUGAAAGCCCAUCGCUCAACGGUGGAACGGCCAUUGAUACUGCAGGACUUGAAUUAUUGGGAAGUAACUAGAAUAUGUAGUGUAGCGGUGAAAUGCUUAGAGAUUACAUGGAAUACCAAUUGCGAAGGCAGGUUACUACCAAUUGAUUGACGCUGAUGGACGAAAGCGUGGGUAGCGAACAGGAUUAGAUACCCCGGUAGUCCCUGUCUCUUAUAC